rnacentral:misc_RNA from 1 species
UCGUGGAGCUCCGGCUCCCUCGAGGGAGAACCCUUGCCUUUUGAGCACCUGUUUGUUUCCUCGGCAGGCCCGCCUGCCAAUGGGGACCCCUUCAAACUCUUGCAAUAACCUGUAUGAAAUCGUCUGAACAAAACAAACAAAUCA